rnacentral:rRNA from 1 species
AGUGAACGCUGGCGGCGUGCUUAACGCAUGCAAGUCGAACGAGAACGGAUUAUAGCUUGCUAUAAUUGUCAGCUAAGUGGCGCACGGGUGAGUAAUGUAUAGGUAAUAUGCCUCUUACUAAGGGAUAACAAAUGGAAACGUUUGCUAAUACCUUAUACUCCUUAUUAACAUAAGUUAAUAAGGGAAAGAUUUAUUGGUAAGAGAUUAGCCUGUAUUGUAUCAGUUAGUUGGUGGGGUAAUAGCUUACCAAGACUAUGACACAUAACUGGUUUGAGAGGAUGAUCAGUCACACUGGAACUGAGACACGGUCCAGACUCCUACGGGAGGCAGCAGUGGGGAAUAUUGCACAAUGGACGAAAGUCUGAUGCAGCAACGCCGCGUGGAGGAUGACACAUUUCGGUGCGUAAACUCCUUUUAUAUGAGAAGAUAAUGACGGUAUUAUAUGAAUAAGCACCGGCUAACUCCGUGCCAGCCGCCGCCGUAA